CCGCCGCGCCCGCCGCGCACGCCACCCGGCCCUCCGCCGCCGACGUCGACGUGCGCGCCGACCACAUCUACUACUGCGACGUGCACAGAUACGAGAUAGUGCGUCAGAAACUGGACGGCAGCGGUCGAGAAGUCUUCAUCAACGAGGACGUCGACAACUGCGAAGGCAUUGCGAUCGAUUGGAUGGGAGGCAACCUGUACUGGACGGACGCGGCGCUGGGCCGCGUGAGCGUGGCGCGGCUGAGUGCGCCGGCGCUGCGGCGCGCGCUCGUGGACCAGCGCGACUACAGCCCGCGCUCCAUCGCGCUCG